UACGUAGGGUGCAAGCGUUGUCCGGAAUUACUGGGCGUAAAGGGCGCGUAGGCGGCUUAUCAAGUCAGGCGUGAAAUUCCCGGGCUCAACCUGGGGGCUGCGCUUGAUACUGAUGAGCUUGAAUGCGGGAGAGGAUAGUGGAAUUCCCAGUGUAGAGGUGAAAUUCGUAGAUAUUGGGAAGAACACCGGUGGCGAAGGCGGCUAACUGGUCCGGUUCUGACGCUGAGGCGCGAAAGCGUGGGGAGCAAACAGG
rnacentral:rRNA from 1 species